GAUGAACGCUGGCGGCGUGCCUAAUACAUGCAAGUCGAGCGACCAGACGAGGAGCUUGUUCUCUUGACGUUAGCGGCGGACGGGCGAGUGACAAGUGGAUCGCAUACUUAUAUGUCUGGGAUAACUUCGGGGAAAAGGAGACACUAAUGGCUCAUAUAUCCAACGGGUUGGAUCAAUAGAGAUAGAGAGUUUUGGUGUUACUAUUAGAUGGUUUCGCGCCGGAUUAGCUAGUUGGUAAGGUAACGGCUUACCAAGGCAACGAUGCGUAGCCGACCUGAGAGGAUGAUCAGCCACACUGGAACUGAGACACGGUCCAGACUCCUACGGGAGGCAGCAGUGGGGAAUAUUCCGCAAAGGGCGAAAGCCUGACGCAGCAACGCCGCGUGGGUGAUGAAGGUCUUCGGAUCGUAAAGCUCUGUUAUUGGGGAAGAACAAAAGUGUAAGUAACUAUGCACGUCUUGACGGUACCUAAACAGAAAGCCACGGCUAACUUCGUG
rnacentral:rRNA from 1 species